ACGGGUGCGUAACACGUAUGCAAUCUACCCUUAUCAGGAGGAUAGCCCAGAGAAAUCUGGAUUAAUACUCCAUAGCACUAUUGAAUCGCAUGGUUCGAUAGUUAAAGCUCCGGCGGAUAAGGAUGAGCAUGCGUCCCAUUAGUUAGUUGGUGAGGUAACGGCUCACCAAGACAGCGAUGGGUAGGGGUUCUGAGAGGAUGAUCCCCCACACUGGUACUGAGACACGGACCAGACUCCUACGGGAGGCAGCAGUGAGGAAUAUUGGGCAAUGGACGGAAGUCUGACCCAGCCAUGCCGCGUGCAGGAAGACUGCCCUAUGGGUUGUAAACUGCUUUUAUAUACCAAGAAACCCCCGGACGUGUCCGGGGCUGACGGUAGUAUAUGAAUAAGGACCGGCUAACUCCGUGCCAGCAGCCGCGGUAAUACGGAGGGUCCAAGCGUUAUCCGGAUUUAUUGGGUUUAAAGGGUUCGUAGGCGGGAGAUUAAGUCAGUGGUGAAAGCUUGCAGCUCAACUGUAAAAUUGCCAUUGAUACUGAUUUUCUUGAGUGUAUUUGGAGUUGGCGGAAUAUGCCAUGUAGCGGUGAAAUGCUUAGAUAUGACAUAGAACACCGAUCGCGAAGGCAGCCAACUAAGAUACUACUGACGCUGAGGAACGAAAGCGUGGGGAGCAAACAGGAUUAGAUACCCUGGUAGUCCACGCCGUAAACGAUGAUUACUCGAUAUUGGUCUUACGAUCAGUGUCCAAGCGAAAGUGAUAAGUAAUCCACCUGGGGAGUACGCCCGCAAGGGUGAAACUCAAAGGAAUUGACGGGGGCCCGCACAAGCGGUGGAGCAUGUGGUUUAAUUCGAUGAUACGCGAGGAACCUUACCAAGGCUUAAAUGUGGAACGACCGGGAUGGAAACGUCCCUUUCUUCGGACGGUUCACAAGGUGCUGCAUGGUUGUCGUCAGCUCGUGCUGUGAAGUGUCGGGUUAAGUCCCAUAACGAGCGCAACCCCUAUCUCUAGUUGCCAGCGGAUCAUGCCGGGGACUCUAGAGAAACUGCCGGCGUAAGCCGAGAGGAAGGUGGGGAUGACGUCAAAUCAUCACGGCCCUUACGUCUUGGGCUACACACGUGCUACAAUGGUGGGGACAGAGAGUUGCGAACUGGUGACAGUGAGCUAAUCUUCAAACCCCAUCUCAGUUCGGAUCGUAGUCUGCAACUCGACUACGUGAAGUUGGAAUCGCUAGUAAUCGCGCAUCAGCCAUGGCGCGGUGAAUACGUUCCCGGGCCUUGUACACACC
rnacentral:rRNA from 1 species